GUUUCCUGUUGCUCGUUUGAUGAUCCCAGAUGGAGUUGACAGACUGCCUGCUACCACCUCAACACCAAGACAUGCUGCACCAGAGAGGGAGUGAGACAAGAAUAGGAGGAGAGACACAGACACAGACCCACAGAGGAGAAGGCCGUGUGACCACCGAGGCAGAGGUGACGUGCUUCAGCCACAAGCCAAGGAACUCCAAGAUUGCAGGUCACCACCAGAAGCUGGAAGAGGCGUGAAGGAUCUUCCCCUGGAGCCUUCAGAUUUGGCUUAUGGAAAAGCCCAAAAGGAUGUGUCUUCUUCAUCUCCAAAUCAACCAAACUUCAGUUCCCAUGGUCUGCAACAACUGUCUCCCUGUUCUCAGCAAAGUGUACCCCAUUCUUCCAAUUACUCAAACCCAAACUCUGGAAAUAUCUUUGAUCCCUCUCUUCAUUGACUUCACAUCUGAUCCAUCACCAAUAUUCUCUUGCCUCUAACUUCAAAACAUAUCCAGAGUCUCUGCAUAACAUAUUCAUAUUGCUGAAAAGCAAUUGUAACAGGAAAUAUCUAAGAGAAAAAAGAAGCAUUGUAUACAGAAGUACAAAGAUAAGUAAAACCGCUGACUUCUUCUCAGAAUCUAUGCAAGUCAGACAAGAGUGGAGGCAAAAUGAAGCUAAAGACAACACCAAAUGCAGGUGAGCAGACCAACAGGAACUCUCAUUCAUUGUUGGUGGGAGUGUAAAAUGGUACAGCCACUUUGGAAGAAAAUCGGGCAGUUUCUUACAAAGCUAAAUAUACUCCUGCAAUACAAUCCUCAGGUAAUUCCCUUGGUGUGCACUCAAAUGAAUUGAAAACUUAUGUCUACACAAAUUCUGCACACAAAUGUUUAUAGCAGCUUUAUCCAUAAGUGCCCUAAACUGAAAUAAAUC